rnacentral:misc_RNA from 1 species
GAUGAAGAACGUAGCGAAAUGCGAUAAGUAAUGUGAAUUGCAGAAUUCAGUGAAUCCUCGAAUCUUUGAACGCACAUUGCGCCCGCCAGCACUCUGGCGGGCAUGCCUGUUCGAGCGUCAUUUCAACCAUCAAGCCCCCAGGGGCUUGUGCUGGGGCCCUGCGGCUGCCCGCAGGCCCUGAAAACCAGUGGCGGGCUCGCUAGUCACACCGAGCGCAGUAGCACAUCUCGCUCAGGGCGUGCGGCGGGCUCCUGCCGUGAAACCCCCCACUGUAACCCCAAAGGUUGACCUCGGAUCAGGUAGGAAUACCCGCUGAACUUAAGCAUAUCAAUAAGCGGAGGA